UUGAUUCUUGAAUUUCUAUCUACAUUAAGGUGGUGACGAGGAAAUUGGAAGAGCUUAUCGACCAGCUUAGGUUCAGCUUGUGUUAUAUAGUAGCUGAGUUAAACACUAUUGGGCCAGUUGAUCUAUCAAGUUGAGCCAUAGAUUGUCAAGCAUUGUAUGAAUUAUCUUUUCAGUUUAAGAGUUCAUAUUUUGGGAUAGACACCUCUUUUGGUCAUAAAUUAGUUCCAUGUGUUGGGCUUGCUAUGUUUUGUAUAUAUAUUAUGCAUUUUGGGUACUGUGGUUUAGAAAUUGUUGCAAAAGUCGAAUUGCCAGUGUUGUAUUUGAAUAGUUGAUAUUUUGAGGGGCCGGUGUACCCUAUUUCAAAUGAUAUGUACAUGUUUAGGAUAUUUGAUUUUAUUUUCAGGUAGUUUUAGUCUAUUUUUCAGAAGGAACUCUGCCGAAAUUUUUAUAAAAUUAUAACAGUCAAAGCAUGUCAAGUUUGCCUUGGUGGUGGGUCCGGCACUUUGCUGGUAUCUACCAUCGGCGCACGACACGUGUCGGAUCCAUUAGGGUGAUCGGAACGGGUCGUGUCAAUUUAUACAGAAGAGGAGUUGGGCAUUGGGAAGCUAGAUGCUGGAGGUACCCGUCUAUGCCCAUUCAACUGUGACUGUUGUUUUUAAUGAAAUUAGUUUCUAGUGUCGAUUGGUAUUUCAAAUGCUUUCCUUAUUAACAUAUUUUUGGAGUACUUGAUGAACUAAUUCCUUGUUCAACUGAUGUUAUGGGAGGGUAAUAUGGAUUUCAAGAAAAAAAAGGUACUUUUGUUUUCAGAAUCCGAGUUUCACUUUUAUCUUGAAGAUUCCACCUGCUUCGGUCUUGCUGCUGAAAGUUGCAGGGAUGAUCGGGAUUGGACUCAGCUUCAUACCUGUGCUUGGAGCGAUCAGAAGGAGAAUGCUCUACCCAUGUCAAAUAAAGCAUAGGGAGACAGCUGGAAGGGAAAAGACAAGGAACAAGAGUAAAGAAUUUACAAGUCUUGUGGGAGAAGAAUGGUUGAGACGUUGACUGCCUUCGAUACUGAAAAAAUAACCCAAGCGGUCUACCCCCUUGGCGAAUCCCAACUGAAAGCACUAUAUGAACUAAUGACAAGCGAGAUAAAGAAAGCCGUUGGCCUUGUGUGUAAACCUUUUUGCGGAAUCCUUUGCUUGUUAUGAUUGUUUAUGAUUGUGGGAGGGAUUUGAGUGUAGUAUGAUGUGAACGUGUGAAAGUCAUGAAG